rnacentral:rRNA from 1 species
UACAGAGGGUGCGAGCGUUGUCCGGAAUUACUGGGCGUAAAGCGCGCGUAGGCGGCCCUGCAAGUCGGGGGUGAAAGCCCGAGGCUCAACCUCGGAACUGCCUUCGAUACUGCGGGUCUCGAGUCCGGGAGAGGUGAGUGGAAUUCCUAGUGUAGAGGUGAAAUUCGUAGAUAUUAGGAAGAACACCAGUGGCGAAGGCGGCGCACUGGCCCGGUACUGACGCUGAGGCGCGAAAGCGUGGGGAGCAAACAGG